GACGAACGCUGGCGGCGUGCUUAACACAUGCAAGUCGAACGGAAAGGCCCUGCUUUUGUGGGGUGCUCGAGUGGCGAACGGGUGAGUAGCACGUGAGUAACCUGCCCUUGACUUUGGGAUAACUUCAGGAAACUGGGGCUAAUACCGGAUAGGAGCUCCUGCUGCAUGGUGGGGGUUGGAAAGUUUCGGCGGUUGGGGAUGGACUCGCGGCUUAUCAGCUUGUUGGUGGGGUAGUGGCUUACCAAGGCUUUGACGGGUAGCCGGCCUGAGAGGGUGACCGGCCACAUUGGGACUGAGAUACGGCCCAGACUCCUACGGGAGGCAGCAGUGGGGAAUAUUGCACAAUGGGCGGAAGCCUGAUGCAGCAACGCCGCGUGCGGGAUGACGGCCUUCGGGUUGUAAACCGCUUUCGCCUGUGACGAAGCGUGAGUGACGGUAAUGGGUAAAGAAGCACCGGCUAACUACGUGCCAGCAGCCGCGGUGAUACGUAGGGUGCGAGCGUUGUCCGGAUUUAUUGGGCGUAAAGGGCUCGUAGGUGGUUGAUCGCGUCGGAAGUGUAAUCUUGGGGCUUAACCCUGAGCGUGCUUUCGAUACGGGUUGACUUGAGGAAGGUAGGGGAGAAUGGAAUUCCUGGUGGAGCGGUGGAAUGCGCAGAUAUCAGGAGGAACACCAGUGGCGAAGGCGGUUCUCUGGGCCUUUCCUGACGCUGAGGAGCGAAAGCGUGGGGAGCGAACAGGCUUAGAUACCCUGGUAGUCCACGCUGUAAACGGUGGGUACUAGGUGUGGGGUCCAUUCCACGGGUUCCGUGCCGUAGCUAACGCUUUAAGUACCCCGCCUGGGGAGUACGGCCGCAAGGCUAAAACUCAAAGGAAUUGACGGGGCUCCGCACAAGCGGCGGAGCAUGCGGAUUAAUUCGAUGCAACGCGUAGAACCUUACCUGGGUUUGACAUGGAUCGGGAGUGCUCAGAGAUGGGUGUGCCUCUUUUGGGGUCGGUUCACAGGUGGUGCAUGGCUGUCGUCAGCUCGUGUCGUGAGAUGUUGGGUUAAGUCCCGCAACGAGCGCAACCCUUGUUCACUGUUGCCAGCACGUUAUGGUGGGGACUCAGUGGAGACCGCCGGGGUCAACUCGGAGGAAGGUGGGGAUGACGUCAAGUCAUCAUGCCCCUUAUGUCCAGGGCUUCACGCAUGCUACAAUGGCUGGUACAGAGAGUGGCGAGCCUGUGAGGGUGAGCGAAUCUCGGAAAGCCGGUCUCAGUUCGGAUUGGGGUCUGCAACUCGACCUCAUGAAGUCGGAGUCGCUAGUAAUCGCAGAUCAGCAACGCUGCGGUGAAUACGUUCCCGGGGCU
rnacentral:rRNA from 1 species